GAUGAACGCUGGCGGCGUGCCUAAUACAUGCAAGUCGAGCGAACAGACGAGGAGCUUGCUCCUCUGACGUUAGCGGCGGACGGGUGAGUAACACGUGGAUAACCUACCUAUAAGACUGGGAUAACUUCGGGAAACCGGAGCUAAUACCGGAUAAUAUAUUGAACCGCAUGGUUCAAUAGUGAAAGACGGUUUUGCUGUCACUUAUAGAUGGAUCCGCGCCGCAUUAGCUAGUUGGUAAGGUAACGGCUUACCAAGGCAACGAUGCGUAGCCGACCUGAGAGGGUGACCGGCCACACUGGAACUGAGACACGGUCCAGACUCCUACGGGAGGCAGCAGUAGGGAAUCUACCGCAAUGGGCGAAAGCUUGACGGAGCAACGCCGCGUGAGUGAUGAAGGUCUUCGGAUCGUAAAACUCUGUUAUUAGGGAAGAACAAAUGUGUAAGUAACUAUGCACGUAUUGACGGUACCUAAUCAGAAAGCCACGGCUAACUACGUG
rnacentral:rRNA from 1 species